GCUAGGCACGGUGGUACCUACCUGUAAUCCCUGCUACGGGGGAAGCUAAGGCAACUGCCAUUGCUUCAGCUCAGGAGUUCUGAGCUUCAGUGGUUAAAGUGAAUUGGUGUCCUCGUCAAGUCUUGCACCCAUAUGGUAAGCCUGUGGACGCAGGAGGCCACCAGGCUGCCUAAGGAGUGACAAACUGGCUCAGGUUGGAAAUGGAAUAGGUCAAAGCUCUGGUGCCAAUCAGUGGUUGGGUCAGGCCCAUGAGUGUCCACUAUAUUUCCAGCCUGGGCAAGAUAGGGAGACC
rnacentral:SRP_RNA from 1 species